AUUGAACGCUGGCGGCAGGCCUAACACAUGCAAGUCGAGCGGGGCGGCGGACGGGUGGGUAAUGCCUAUGAAUCUGCCUGGUAGUGGGGGAUGACGUCCGGCAACGGGCGCUAAUACCGCCUACUCUCAGAUGAGCCUAGGUGGGAUUAGCUAGUUGGUGGGGUAAGGGCAUACCAAGGCGACGAUCCGUAACUGGUCUGAGAGGAUGAUCAGUCACACUGGAACUGAGACACGGCCCAGACUCCUACGGGAGGCAGCAGUGGGGAAUAUUGGACAAUGGGCGAAAGCCUGAUCCAGCCAUGCCGCGUGUGUGAAGAAGGUCUUCGGAUUGUAAAGCACUUUAAGUUGGGAGGCGUUACCAACAGAAGAAGCACCGGCUAACUCCGUGCCAGCAGCCGCGGUAAUAC
rnacentral:rRNA from 1 species